rnacentral:rRNA from 1 species
UACGGAGGAUGCGAGCGUUAUCCGGAUUUAUUGGGUUUAAAGGGUGCGUAGGCGGCUUUUUAAGUCAGCGGUGAAAUUUUGCAGCUUAACUGUAACAGUGCCGUUGAUACUGGGGAGCUAGGAUUUGGUUGCUGUGGGUGGAAUGUGUAGUGUAGCGGUGAAAUGCUUAGAGAUCACACAGAAUAUCGAUUGCGAAGGCAGCUCACAAAGCCAAGAUUGACGCUGAGGCACGAAAGUGUGGGGAUCAAACAGGAUUA